rnacentral:lncRNA from 1 species
ACUGCAGACUGUAUGUAAUGUUAACUGGAAGAAAAACUAAGUCCAUUUAUAAGUAAAAUACGGGAAAAAUGGAAUUUUAUUUUUACAAAAUUUACAUCUGGAUACUAUCUUCUGAUCAUAAACAAGCUUCUGGCCAAGUUUCUUACAAUUCCAGGAUAGUUUAAGAAAGUUAUUAAAAUUUUACAAACUUUAACCACAGAGUGAAUGUAAUGUUUCCUGGCAGAAAAAACUAAGUCCAUUUAUAAGUAAAAUAUGGAAAAAAUGGAAUUUUAUUUUUACAAAAUUUACUUCUGGAUACUAUCUCCUGAUCAUAAACAAGCUUCUGGCCAAGUUUUGUACAUUUCCAGGAUAGUUUAAGAAAGUUAUUAAAAUUUUAAAAACUAACCACAGAGUGAAUGUAAUGUUUCCUGGCAGAAAAAACUAAGUCCAUUUAUAAGUAAAAU